AGAUACCCUGGUAGUCCACGCUGUAAACGAUGUCGAUUUGGAGGUUGUGCCCUUGAGGCGUGGCUUCCGGAGCUAACGCGUUAAAUCGACCGCCUGGGGAGUACGGCCGCAAGGUUAAAACUCAAAUGAAUUGACGGGGGCCCGCACAAGCGGUGGAGCAUGUGGUUUAAUUCGAUGCAACGCGAAGAACCUUACCUACUCUUGACAUCCAGAGAACUUAGCAGAGAUGCUUUGGUGCCUUCGGGAACUCUGAGACAGGUGCUGCAUGGCUGUCGUCAGCUCGUGUUGUGAAAUGUUGGGUUAAGUCCCGCAACGAGCGCAACCCUUAUCCUUUGUUGCCAGCGGUUCGGCCGGGAACUCAAAGGAGACUGCCAGUGAUAAACUGGAGGAAGGUGGGGAUGACGUCAAGUCAUCAUGGCCCUUACGAGUAGGGCUACACACGUGCUACAAUGGCAUAUACAAAGAGAAGCGACCUCGCGAGAGCAAGCGGACCUCAUAAAGUAUGUCGUAGUCCGGAUUGGAGUCUGCAACUCGACCCCAUGAAGUCGGAAUCGCUAGUAAUCGUAGAUCAGAAUGCUACGGUGAAUACGUUCCCGGGCCUUGUACACACCGCCCGUCACACCAUGGGAGUGGGUUGCAAAAGAAGUAGGUAGCUUAACCUUCGGGAGGGCGCUUACCACUUUGUGAUUCAU
rnacentral:rRNA from 1 species